AGAGACAGCAGUAGCCGCGGUAAUACGAAGGGGGCUAGCGUUGCUCGGAAUGACUGGGCGUAAAGGGCGCGUAGGCGGAUUGUUUAGUUAGGCGUGAAAUUCCUGGGCUUAACCUGGGGACUGCGCUUAAUACAGGCAGUCUAGAGUGAGGAAGAGGGUUGUGGAAUUCCCAGUGUAGAGGUGAAAUUCGUAGAUAUUGGGAAGAACACCGGUGGCGAAGGCGGCAACCUGGUCCUUGACUGACGCUGAGGCGCGAAAGCGUGGGGAGCAAACAGGAUUAGAUACCCCAGUAGUCCCUGUCUCUUAUAC
rnacentral:rRNA from 1 species